rnacentral:sRNA from 1 species
AAAUCCAACAUUUAUAGGAUUUUUAUCAAUUGCAUCAUUUUAUGCAUUUAUUGUGCAAAAGGCAGUGCAGUGUCAGCUUUUGUGAUUUAUUAAUGUCUUCCAGUAAUUUAUUUAGCUCUUGGAUUAUUAUUAAUUUUUUUUGUUGGCUUCAAUGUUAAUGUGUCGUUAUGGUUGCCAUUGCAUGCAAAUGUUGCUAAGUACAUGUAUAUGUACUGGUAGGUUGUUUUUACGUUAAUUGAUAUAACAUAAAAAUAAAAUCUGUGACUUUU